UCUCUCUCUCGAUCUACCUCUCCCUCUACGGAAACGACGCAUCGUCUCCAGCAACGGCGCAUCCUCUCCAGCAUCAUCUUCACCACUCUAAGUGCGGCCAGCAGCCCCCGCCCUUCACCUCGUCCCCGGCCAUUUCUGGAGAAACAAGAAGUUGUCAUCGAAAAGGUUGUUCGAAAUAAACGCAAAUGUGUCACAAUUGUGAAAGGCCUUGAACUCUUUGGUGUUAAACUGAGCGAGGCUUCAAAGAAGCUUGGAAAAAAAUUCGCAAGAGUGGGUCAGCCGCCUUUUGGACUUGAUAUUUCACAGUCUGUAUAGCCACAAGGAAGUAUUUCUCCGGGAGCUUGUAAGAUCUGUAUCUUGCUACUGAUUCGAUUUUUUUAUUGGUCAUUUAGAGUAUUUGACCUAUGCUCCUAGGUGCAUUGGAGUUAUCAUCCACCUAUUAUUUGUACUAUACAUGUGGCAUAUGUGUAUGGUUAUCUUCAUCAUCCAUAAUUAAUGAUUUAGUUGAAGUGUUUGGUCCAUGUUUUGUCUUCCCUCUGCAUUUAUAAAAUAGAACUAAUUAACAUAAGUUUAAAUAAAAUUCAGUAAAUUUCUUU